CAUCUAUUACAGAGUAUUUGUUGCUAGGCAAUUUUUUCCUACCUCUUUCCUAUAUUUUCCACUUUAAUAUCUCUGCCUUGCUGUAAAUAAAAGCUGCCAACAGUCAUUUUGACUUAAGAAGUUAAUUAGUUUUUAUAAAUGGCAACCACAAUAAUUUUUUAAAAUUCUUAUAUUUGUAAAACCCAUUUUUAAUUAUUACAGGAAAGAGGCUGCAGCCAGAGGCUAGGCUAUCAGGAAGUAUUAUGAAGAUUGGAUUUGGCUCUCCCCUGAUUAUAACAGUGAAGUCACUCAGAGUUGGACUAGAAGAGACUCACUUGGGCUUGGAGUGAAGAGAGUCAUUCCCAGCUAGAGAGAAGACAGACACUCAGACUUGGAGUGAAGACACUUGGCUGUGGAACUGGACCCCUGGAGGAGCUCAUGCAGGAGACCUCAGACUGCUUUCCUUUUACACGGUCACCAUGGUGAGUAUAAAGAUGGACUUAGUUCCUUGCCCUUUCUGGAGGUGUGAACCUCUAAGAAAGGCCCAUCAUCUUGAGACUCCUUUCCCCUGGCUGGUGCCUUAGAAUUUCUAACUGAUUCAGAAAAAGCUUUCUCUCUCUCUCUCUCUCUCUCUCUCUCUCUCUCUCUCUCUCUCUCUCUCUCUCUCUCUGUCUCUGUCUGUCUCUCGGUCUCACU